ensembl:snoRNA
GUCUGUGAUGAAAAUUGUGAAUAGGAAGUGCCGUCUGAUGCGAUAACUGACGAUGUUUCUUGAUCACAGUUCUGAGC